rnacentral:rRNA from 1 species
GACGGAGGAUGCAAGUGUUAUCCGGAAUCACUGGGCGUAAAGCGUCUGUAGGUGGUUAAAUAAGUCAAUUGUUAAGUCUUGAGGCUCAACCUCAAAAUUGCGAUCGAAACUAUUUGACUAGAGUAUAGUAGGGGUAAAGGGAAUUUCCAGUGGAGCGGUGAAAUGCGUAGAGAUUGGAAAGAACACCGAUGGCGAAAGCACUUUACUGGGCUAUUACUGACACUGAGAGACGAAAGCUAGGGUAGCAAAUGGG